GGGGCUUUAAAGGGCCUGAGCCGGGCUGGGGCUCCCCAAACAAAGUGAUCGAGGGCGGCCGCCUCCACGCAGGUUCCCUCCUGGUUCUCGUGUCUCCCGGAGUCGUUCUGUGGGUUUGCUGCCUCUAUUCGCCCUGAGUAUCUCUAUUCCUCUGUCUACGUCUCUGUCUCUGCCUGUUUUUCUAUUUCUUGGUCUCUCUGUUCCUCUGAAUCGUUGUCUCCAUGUCUUUCUCCAUCACGUGUCUCCCUCAGAGCCUCUUUCUGUCCAGUCUCUGUGUCUCUGCCACGGCCCAAGUCUCCCUCUGUGUGUCUGUUUCACUCUCUUUAAGCCACUCAGCCCGUGGAUCUGUGCAUACGCUCGGACUGGAUCCCGUCUUCACUCCCUUGUAUAACUGGAAAACUCCUGUUCAUCCAUCAGUGGUGUCUGAGCUCCUGGCCAUCCCCGGGGACCGCACUCUUGUCCAAAUUUGCCCAUCCCUGUGCGAGAGCAGCCAUGGAGACAUCUGGGCUUCAGACAAGAAGGUUUCUUUCCACAGCAUCUGCUGAGCUCAGCUUUGUAAUGGAGAAUGAGCAGAGCUUAUUCGGGAAGUCUCAACCCAGGGCACUCCUGCUUGGUCUUCAACCCCUUCUCCAGAUUGCUGAACCCUUCUAGAUGCUGGAACAAGAACCCCAGCAGAAGAGUAUUCAUGUGGUUCCUAAAGGCCUACUGUGUGCUUGGCAAUGUGCGGAGUGACUGACAUAUGCUAUCUCCUUUAAACUCAAUCUCUAAGGUCAGGGCUGGGACAAAGAAAAGGAGAGGGACUGGGAGGUGGUGGAGGAGGCUCUGAUUGGGAUGUUGGGAAAGGAUUCCAGGAAGAAAGAAGCUGGAGAGUGAGGAGGUUUGGUAAGCGUGGUGGGGCUUGGAGGGAGGGCAUUCCUGGCAGAAGGCAUGGCAAGGGCAAAUGCCAUGCUGGCCGUCCUGAUCAGCCUAGUUGUUGCCCUCAGGCCCACAGUGACAGAGAGAAAUCAGUGAAGACAAUCUUGGUUUAUCGCCUAUAAAGUGGGGAUAAAAAAAAAAUUGUUUCCUGGAGAACUAAUGGUCCGAGGGCAGUGCUGACCCCUUGCAAAUUUUGGUACCUGACCUGCAGGCCUGGAGAAAGUAAAGCAGUUGGAUUGGCCUGGGGAGGGCUGGUAAUAAAAGCAAUUGGAUUGGCCAGGAGAAUGAGAUGCGGGGAGAUCUGUGGAGGGGGGGGGGGGGCAAGGGGGAGGGGGGAUAGGAGCUCCAGGCUCGAAGGUGGGGUCUCAGCCCACAGUUCCCAGAGUGACCAGCAGGGACAGCACUGGGCCAGGGGGUGACCCUAUGGCUGGGGAUGGCCUGGAGGCAGGGAUCCUCCGGAAGCAAAUUAACUCAUUUAAAAAAUGCCUGUCCUGUGCCAGACCCUGGGCAGAACUCCACAAAUAUUCACCUGCUUAAUCCCCAUAAUCCAUUUUACCCAGGGUGGGAUUAUUCUGGUAUUUUUAUUUAUUAAUUGUUGUAUUCAGAAGUGGAUACAACUCUAACUCUACUUUUGCACCCACCCUGUCGAUAGGGAGAUUGAGAAUAAGAACAUUAAGUCAUGCACGCUAGGUCACACAGUAGGCAAAUGUCAGAGCUGAGAUUCAAACCCAGGCAGCCCAGCUGGGCCCCUUAACCCUUACAUUCUACUGGCUCUCAUUCUCCCAAAUCUCCUAAAAUGAUAGUUUUAAAAAACAAAAAAAGCAAGGCCUCCCUCGCAAUUAUUGAGAUCUUGCUAUGUACCUUUUAUGCCAUCUCUCCAAGCAUGUACAAUCAUUUCCAUUUUACAAAUGAAGGAACUAAGGCACAAAGACGUGACACUGGGAGCCAAGGUGGUGCUAUAUCCAAGUGAGAAUCCCAGGAGCAUGUGAGACUCAUCUACCCUUAAGCCUGAGUUCACCUCAGGGGAGUGGCCAGUGGGAACCCCAAGCCUCUGCUCUCUCUGACCUCCAGACCCUUGAUGCCACCACUGCCCCUAGCCAAGCUCCUCAGUGUGCCCCAACUCAGGGCUGCACCUUCAUUCAUGCCACCCCUCUGAGUCCUCCUGUAUCACCCUAUGACUGGAGAUACCGUGGACUCACACCCAGCCUGAUGAGAGGGCUGAGAACCUUCACAUAGGCCCUCAAUGAUUUUAUCUUUGACAGGAGGGAAACCGACAGAUCAGAGAAGCCAAGGCAUUUGCCCAAACUGAGCAGGCAUAAGAGGCACAGCUACACUUGAACCAGCCUCUCGUGCCUCCAGGAAUACCAUUAAGUCACUGACAAGCAAGGCUGUGUGAGCCCAUUGGUGUCUGGGGAUCCCAAGCACCCCAGGGUCUUAUAAAAAACGUUUGAGUCCUGACUGGUGUGGUUCAGUUGGUUGAGCAUCGUCCUGUGCACCGAAAGGUCACUGGUUCAAUUCGUGGUCAGGGCACAUACCCAGCUUUCCGGUUCAAUCCCAGUCGUGUUUCUCUCUCAAUCCCUACCCUUCCUCUCUUUUUAAAAUCAAUAAAAACAUAUUUUUUAAAAACACAAACAUUUGAGAACCCAAGAUAUGUACACACUUUGGCUCCAGAAUGCAAAAGGAGAACAAUGUCCAGGUGAAUCCAUGUUUAAUUACAUUCAGGAGCAGGUUGUCAGCUUUGGCGGGAUUAACAUCAUUGCAUCUAGAAACAGGCCAGACAUCUACUCAAGAGAGUUACCUGUGGCCAGUUGAUUUCUAAAACAAAAUUAUAAAUUACAAGAAUACCUAACUGGUGAGCAGUUAGUGUUAGGGGCAGAAGUAGAAUUGUGGGGACUAGCCAUAAUUAUAAGAAACUAGAGGCCCGGGGCACGAAUUUGUGCACAGGUGGGGUCCU